rnacentral:antisense_RNA from 1 species
CUUCACGGACCCGAGCAGCAGCGACCGCUCCCGGUCCUGCCCGUAGGUGGCCAGCAGCGCCUGGGCCUC